CGAGAUCCCAUCCUCGCAGAGUCCCUGUCAAGUGUUGCCCUGGUUACUGGUCCAUGCCCUCUUUACCCUUCCAUUCAGCCAUCCAUCCAGCAGCAGCUGAUGCAGCUGAUAGAGGAUCCAGCGCUGCCUGAUGCUGAGAGGCUCAGAGCCACAACAUUCCCAGGAAAGGACACUGAUUACCAGGCUUCCUUAAAAAACACUCAAGGAGACACGGGAAUCUCUUCUUCAGGACGUGACAUAAACGAUACAUCUGGAAGGAAGGGAGAAGCUGAGCCCGCCUCAGGCCAGCCAAUCAGAGGUCACCUCUGCAGCCAGCGAGCUGGUGAUGUAAUGUUUAAAAAAGAGUGUGCACUUCGGUUUUAAGUUCAACCUUCUUUACUGGGAGGUUAAUGGCAUUUUUUUGCCAGGAAAAGUUCAGAUAAUUCAAGUAUGUAUUCAGGCUAACACUUUUAGCGAUCUCUCCAGGAAAACUGAAUAAAUAUUGUUGACUUUCUGUACAGUAUGAUUUUGACUCCUGUUAAGCUAUCACUUUGGAGACUCAUGUAUAAUAGGUUCAUAAUAAAUUCUAUUCCCAGUACAUGUGAGUUAAAUUUUAGGUAACCUGUUGAUAUCUCCCUGUCUAGACAGGUUUUGCAAAAUGUAUUUAAAUAUUUCACAGUUAUGUUCAAAACCCCUUUAUCUGGAUAUGAAUUCAGAUAUUCUAAGAGCAAUUUGCUCUGUGUCCCUGAUAUUUAUUCUUUAUACACAUGAUGGGGGGGGGGGGGGACUCCCUUUUGCUAUAAAGGUAUUCAGAUUGAUAUUGAGUAUCUAUGCAGUACUGCGCAGCUCAGUGCCUCCCUGAUCUUUGCUGUAACAAUUCUCAGAUCAGUGGAGACUCAUUUACAGCAUUCUAUAUGCAUGUGAUUGAAGAAAGCCGUUUCUUGUGUGGACAAAACCUAAUUUACAGCAGUCAUUGUCGGAGAAGGCAAAGAUAUUAUACUGUAUAAUGUAUGGAGGCCACAAAAACAAAUAAAACAUCAGUUUGAUGGAUGCAACACCGACGGGGCUGCAGCAGAGGCUGCUCAGAGAAAAACAGUUCAAAACAUCACAUUGUAGCCCAGGGUAUAAUAGACAAUGUAAUGACCCGUAACUGAAUAUGCAAGUAGAACGUGGACUGACCCAGAGGGGUUUAUAAUGAUAUGUAGAGGACAAUCUGAUAAGCAGCAUGACUGAUGUGUUCCUCUGUUCCACUCUCUAUCUCAGCACUUCUCUCUGACCCUACUUGUCCAAAUUUAGUUGCGUUAAAAAGAUUUUCCUGUUUUGAUUGUUUUUGGUUCUCACCUCGCU